rnacentral:rRNA from 1 species
CGCCCGGUCCCAUUCCGAACCCGGAAGCUAAGCUCACACGCGCCGAUGGUACUGCACUCGGGAGGGUGUGGGAGAGUAGGUCGCUGCCGAAC